rnacentral:rRNA from 1 species
CGAUAGCGUAUAUUAAAGUUGUUGCAGUUAAAAAGCUCGUAGUUGAAUUUUUGCUUGCCGCCGAUGUCGGAACUUCCGUACGUUCGGCGGCGUGCAUCCUUGGGUGGAACCUGUGUGGCAUUAGGUUGUCGUGCAGGGGAUGCUCAUCGUUUACUGUGAAAAAAUUAGAGUGUUCAAAGCAGGCUUACGCCGUUGAAUAUAUUAGCAUGGAAUAAUAAGAUAGGACCUUGGUACUAUUUUGUUGGUUUGCGCACCGAGGUAAUGAUUAACAGGGACAGUUGGGGGUAUUCGUAUUCCAUUGUCAGAGGUGAAAUUCUUGGAUUUCUGGAAGACGAACUACUGCGAAAGCAUUUACCAAGGAUGUUUUCAUUAA